rnacentral:lncRNA from 1 species
GUCCUCCCUAGCACUUGGUACCUACCUCUACUAGCACUUCCAAACCUCAAUCUAUUUGUGUAUAAUCUUGGGUCCUCCAUCAGCUACUGAACUUCUUCAGCUCAGAAUUCAUACAUUAUGUUUUGAAUUCCAAGUCCUCUGGCAUAUAUUGGAAACCCAAUAAAAGUUUGUAGAAUCAAUUAUAACAAGACUAGUUAUAGUCCCUCCAUUAUUUACACCUCAACAUUGGAAAGUGGGUAUCACUACUUUGAUUUUUAAAAUAGGAUACAGGAGAAGAGAUUUCAAAUAACUUGCCACAGUAAUAACCUUGUCAUAAAAUAUCUUCAAUUCAAAACCAAACUAAGCAUCUGUGACUCCCACGUCUAAGCUCCUUCUCUGUACAAUGCUCUGUCUUCUAACGCUAAGAUUUUCUAACAGCUACGUCACUGUAGAAAGUCUUUUCACAUGCAAAUUCUCACUGAAUCCUAGCAACCACAUUCUGAAAAGCUGUCUUACCUUCAUUUUAUAGGGAAACUAAAGCUCAGAGAAGGAACUUUCCUAAAGUCCACAGGAGUAUCACAUCUACACUCAGGUCCCCUGACUUCCAAAUCUGGAUUAUUACAAAGAAAUCCCAGAAUGGAAUUGUGAAGGGAUGUGUCUGCAGCUGGUGAGGAAGCCCAGGCACACAGAAUCCUGCAGACCUCCCCAGCCCCUCCGCAUCCACAGAGAGCACUCAGCCUAUCUUGAUCAACAGUCGGCAGCAACACAUUGCAGAUAUAAUCUCAAGACCUUGUGGCAUGUACUUGUCACUACAUGCAUAACUUACUAUGGACAGAGGAUCACGGAGAUUUUGAACAUAAUUUCCCACACGACAGGAGAUUAAAUAGACCACAUUGGAAGAAGGCAAGAAGAAGCUAGGUCUCUGGAGUACCAAAAAGUAAACUUCAGCCAGUUCUGGAAGCAUAUAAACAGCAGGAAAUAUACUUGCCGAUGGGCUACUUUCUCAAGAGUUCCUGCUUUCUAGAACUCUGGGGAAAGAAUGAGUUAGUGGGUAAGAAUGUAAGAGGAAAAAGGACCUUCCCUGGAAAGAUUUGGGGUGGAAGAAAAUCUGUGUCUCCUCAUUCAUGUAUGACUUUCUCCUCUCCCUUUGUGAUGCUCCUUUCUUGAAGAAUCUGCUCCCCCAGGUUCACUCCAUCAGAACCUACUCCUGAGACUGCAUUCCUGGCACCUAUAGUGAGGUGUUAAGUCAAUGUCCUACCUUUCAGUAUGUAAAUAUCAAGCUUUCUAUGUUUUUUUUUUUUCCAGUGAAGAAUUACUGGCUACCAACAAAUAAAUAAGAGAAGGCAUUAGGGUCCA